GACUCUAUCUCAUACCAUAUACAAAAUUAAAGAGGUCAAAUUUAAGAGUGUCUAAAAUUUUAAAACUCUUCGAAGAAAACACAGGUUUCCUGACCAAGAAUUAGAAUUAGAUAAUGAUUUCUUAGUUAUGACAUCUUAAGCCCAAGAAACCAAAGAAAAGUAGAUUAAUUGGACUUCAUCCAAAUAAAAAACUGUUCUGCUUCAAAGGACAUGGUAAAGAAAGUGAAACGAAAUCCAUCAUAUGGGAGAAAGUACUUACAAAUCACAUACCUGAUAAGUUUCUAGUAUCCAGAAUAUACAUAUAAAGAACUCGUACAAUUGAGUAAUAAAAGAACAAAUAAUCCCAUUUACAAUGUGCAAAUGAUUUUACUAGACAUUUCCCCAAAGAAGAUACACAGAUGACCAACAGGCUCAUGAAAAGAUGCCUACUGCCAUUAGUCAUUACGGAAAUGCAAAUCAAAGCCACACGAGACCACAUCACACCCCGUAGGGGGGCUGACUACAGUCAAAAAGACAGACAGUAAUAGUUUUAGUGAGGAUGUGGAAAAACUGCACCCUUGUGCACUGCUCGUGGGGACGUAAAUGGUGCAGCCGCUUCAGGAAACUCUUCCUCAGGGAUGUAAACAUGGUGUUACCAUAUACCCCAGCAGUUUCAUUCCUGAACAUAUGUCUAAGAGAACUGAGGACAUACGUUCACACAAAAACUUGGAUUCAAAUGUUCACAGAAGCACUAGUCAUAAUAGCCAAACGUGGAGACACCCUAAGUGCCCAUUGCUGAAGCCAGGACCUCUGGCUGCGGCCACCCCGCGGUGGGGCUGUGCCCUUCCUGCUGUGGGAUGUGUGCUUCUUGCUUCUGUUCCAACUGAGAGAUCACUUGGCCUGAUCCUGCAUUCAUCAAGGAUGUAGCACAGAGGGAGAGAGGACACGCAUGGUAUCCACGGGUAAACAUGGCGCCUGCCUGUCAGCUACACGAGAGGAGGACCUCCUCACAGGGACAUGGCGAUUGUCCUCCAGCCCUAAACCUGAAGUGACACAACUCAGUCUGCACCCCCAUACGUCUCCGACGACCCCAAGUCACCAUCCUUCCACUGGAGCCCAAGGACACAAGCGCUGUGUUUACUCCGCAAUCUUGGAUUUCUCUGCCAGAGCCGCAUUCUGAGGCCACAUCCCAAUGGUCUGUGAAAGAGGAGAUAGAAGUUAUCCCAGAAAUAAAGUGUGCACGUGUGUGCCCGUGUGACUGUUUCCUGGACAGAGGGAGGAACCUGCCCGUGAACUUGGCCUAGGACUUGCCUGCAGCCUGCUGAAGCACUGACACAGACGGCUGCCUGCGCCCACCUGGACGCAGUGCCUGUAACACGUGGAUGGCCAAUUAGAGCUCCAGCCGCCCUGGAGGAUGGUGAUUUCCAGGUGUUGGGUCCAGUGCUGCAGAGCCGAUUUAUAUGAGAUGUUAAUGAGAACCAGAGGAAACCCAGGUCACUGUGGGAAAUUGCUAUCGAUGUGGCCAAGCCGGGUGGCGGGCUGGCCCAUGAGGGGUGCCAGAACCCCACAGUUCCUCGCAGGCCCCCACCUCCAUAGCCGGCAAGUGGCCUGGGGGUCAGCUGGGCUGUCUCAAGCCAGGAGACAGGGCUGCGUCAGCUGCACAGACCAGAACUUUCUAGCCUCCUCUCUCUGCCCUUGUGGAGAGGACGCACUCAGCACUGACAGUCCAGCCCCUCCAGGCUGGUGCUGUCUCAGGCGUGCGGGAGCAGUAGGUCAGAGUCACCAGUGCCGCUGGGGCAGCCCCUCCCCCAAUUCCUCAA